UGUAAGCGUAUACCAAAGUUGUUGCAGUUAAAACGCUCGUAGUCGGAAUUUGGCAGUUCCGGAUGUGUGCACGUCGUGUGCGCACUUCGCGGGGAUUGCUUUUGUGGUCUUGCGUAGGAUGAGGCACUUUUAUUAGUGAACGUCCUCACGCAACCACUUUUUACUGUGAGAAAAUCAGAGUGCUCAAAGCAGGCAUUUGCCGUGAAUGUAUUAGCAUGGAAUAAUAGAAUAGGACUUGGUUCUAUUUUGUUGGUUUGUUGGGACUGAGUAAUGAUUAAGAGGGACAGUUGGGGGCAUUUGUAUUUCGGUGCUAGAGGUGAAAUUCUCAGAUUACCGAAAGACAAACUGCUGCGAAAGCGUCUGCCAAGGAUGUUUUCAUUGA
rnacentral:rRNA from 1 species